rfam:Myotis davidii contig39422, whole genome shotgun sequence.
UGCAGUUCUCGGGUGAUGCACCCCAGAAUCGGGCUCCCUCCUCUCUGGUUCCAGGGUGCAUCACCUGAGAACCGCC